GUGCUCGCUUUGGCAAGCACAUACACUAAAACUGGAAGAAUACAGAGAAAGUUAGCACGCCCCUGAGUAAGGAUGACAUGCAAAUUCGUGACUUGUUCCAUAUUAAA